CCUACGGGCGGCAGCAGUGGGGAAUAUUGGACAAUGGGGGGAACCCUGAUCCAGCCAUGCCGCGUGUGUGAAGAAGGCCCUCGGGUUGUAAAGCACUUUCAGUGAGGAAGAACGCCUGGUGGUUAAUACCCAUCAGGAAAGACAUCACUCACAGAAGAAGCACCGGCUAACUCCGUGCCAGCAGCCGCGGUAAUACGGAGGGUGCGAGCGUUAAUCGGAAUUACUGGGCGUAAAGCGCGCGUAGGUGGCUUGAUAAGCCGGUUGUGAAAGCCCCGGGCUCAACCUGGGAACGGCAUCCGGAACUGUCAAGCUAGAGUGCAGGAGAGGAAGGUAGAAUUCCCGGUGUAGCGGUGAAAUGCGUAGAGAUCGGGAGGAAUACCAGUGGCGAAGGCGGCCUUCUGGACUGACACUGACACUGAGGUGCGAAAGCGUGGGCAGCAAACAGGAUUAGAUACCCUAGUAGUC
rnacentral:rRNA from 1 species